rnacentral:rRNA from 1 species
GCAAGUCGAACGAUCGGCCUUCGGAAGCUUGCUUCUGGAGGUCCGGAGUGGCGCACGGGUGAGUAACGCGUAGGUAAUCUGCCUCACAAUCUGGGAUAGCCGGCCGAAAGGUCAAUUAAUACCGGAUACGACAUCAGGACGGGAUCGUCUUGGUGGGAAAGGUCCUCACAGGGAUUGUUGUGAGAUGGGCUUGCGUACUAUUAGCUAGUUGGUGAGGUAAUGGCUCACCAAGGCUAUGAUGGUUAGCCGGCUUGAGAGAGUGAAC